GACGAACGCUGGCGGCGUGCUUAACACAUGCAAGUCGAGCGGUAAGGCCCUUUCGGGGGUACACGAGCGGCGAACGGGUGAGUAACACGUGGGUGACCUGCCUUUAGCUCUGGGAUAAGCCUGGGAAACCGGGUACUAAUACCGGAUAUGACUCCGCGGCGCAUGUUGUGGGGUGGAAAGCCUUGUGCGGCUAGGGAUGGGCCCGCGGCCUAUCAGCUUGUUGGUGGGGUGAUGGCCUACCAAGGCGACGACGGGUAGCCGGCCUGAGAGGGCGACCGGCCACACUGGGACUGAGACACGGCCCAGACUCCUACGGGAGGCAGCAGUGGGGAAUCUUGCGCAAUGGGCGAAAGCCUGACGCAGCAACGCCGCGUGGGGGAAGACGGCCU
rnacentral:rRNA from 1 species